UGGGGAAUUUUGGACAAUGGGGGCAACCCUGAUCCAGCCAUGCCGCGUGAGUGAAGAAGGCCUUCGGGUUGUAAAGCUCUUUCGGCCGGGAAGAAAUCGUGCAGGCUAAUACCCUGUGUGGAUGACGGUACCGGAAUAAGAAGCACCGGCUAACUACGUGCCAGCAGCCGCGGUAAUACGUAGGGUGCGAGCGUUAAUCGGAAUUACUGGGCGUAAAGCGUGCGCAGGCGGUUUUGUAAGACAGGACGUGAAAUCCCCGGGCUCAACCUGGGAACUGCGUUUGUAGACUGUCAAGGCUAGAGUAUGGCAGAGGGGG
rnacentral:rRNA from 1 species